GUUAAGAUAAUUUAAAUAGAAUACUAGAUUGUGAUUCUAGAAAUAAGAGUUAAAUUCUCUUUUUUAACC
rnacentral:tRNA from 1 species